AUUGAACGCUGGCGGCAUGCUUUACACAUGCAAGUCGAACGGUAACAGGUUAAGCUGACGAGUGGCGUACGGGUGAGUAAUGCAUCGGAACGUGCCCGGUCGUGGGGGAUAACGCAGCGAAAGCUGCGCUAAUACCGCAUACGAUCUGAGGAUGAAAGCGGGGGACCGUAAGGCAUCGCGCGAUCGGAGCGGCCGAUGUCAGAUUGGGUAGUUGGUGGGGUAAAGGCUCACCAAGCCGACGAUCUGUAGCUGGUCUGAGAGGACGACCAGCCACACUGGGACUGAGACACGGCCCAGACUCCUACGGGAGGCAGCAGUGGGGAAUUUUGGACAAUGGGCGCAAGCCUGAUCCAGCAAUGCCGCGUGCAGGAAGAAGGCCUUCGGGUUGUAAACUGCUUUUGUACGGAGCGAAAAGGCUCUCUCUAAUACAGGGGGCUCAUGACGGUACCGUAAGAAUAAGCACCGGCUAACUACGUGCCAGCCGCCGCGGUAA
rnacentral:rRNA from 1 species